GUUGGCUAGUGUAGUGGUUACCAUUUUCGGUUUUGCCUCGGACAUCUCCGGUUCGAAUCCGGGGGAUUUUAACU
rnacentral:tRNA from 1 species